GGAGGGUUGUCAGAGCGGCCGAAUGAGAUGGUCUUGAAAACCAUUGUGCAGCGAUCCUGUACCGCGGGUUCGAAUCCCGCACCCUCCG
rfam:Brachybacterium faecium DSM 4810 strain 6-10, complete genome.